rnacentral:rRNA from 1 species
AGUGAACGCUGGCGGUAGGCCUAACACAUGCAAGUCGAACGGCAGCACAGUAAGAGCUUGCUCUUACGGGUGGCGAGUGGCGGACGGGUGAGGAAUACAUCGGAAUCUACUUUUUCGUGGGGGAUAACGUAGGGAAACUUACGCUAAUACCGCAUACGACCUACGGGUGAAAGCAGGGGAUCUUCGGACCUUGCGCGAUUGAAUGAGCCGAUGUCGGAUUAGAUAGUUGGCGGGGUAAAGGCCCACCAAGGCGACGAUCCGUAGCUGGUCUGAGAGGAUGAUCAGCCACACUGGAACUGAGACACGGUCCAGACUCCGACGGGAGGCAGCAGUCGGGAAUAUUGCACAAGGGGCGCAAGCCUGAUCCAGCCAUACCGCGUGGGGGAAGAAGGCCUUCGGGUUGUAAAGCCCUUUUGUUGGGAAAGAAAAGCAGCAGGUUAAUACCCCGCUGUUCUGACGGUACCCAAAGAAUAAGCACCGGCUAACUUCGUG